rnacentral:lncRNA from 1 species
UUUUAAAACUCUUUUAUCACUUUCAGCUCAAAGCCCCUUGUUACUUAGUGAAAUACUGGUUUAAAUAGGAAUAUAUCCCUUGAUUAAAUUUCAUUAUUAUGUGUUUAAAUAAAUAUUUUAAAAGCUAAGGGCAUGCGGAAGGCGUUUUAUCUAGUAUGGUGCGAGGCUUAAGUCUCAUGAAUCUAUGAGGCAUAUUGUCACGGGCUCAUUUUUUACCACUUGUCACGGGCUCAUUUUUCAACGUGUCAGCGGCACACAAUUUUGCCCGUGCGGCUCCCAUGGUUCCCCCAACUAUGGGCCAGCCUUCCUCAUUUCCCAGGUCUUUAGCACGAUCCUGUGCUUGUGGGAAGCUCGCCUCAGAGGCUUGCCCCCUUUGGUGCCGCUCCUUCAACAUGUCGGCUGACAUGGCCAACGUAUAAGCAACUCUUCUGGCGCACCUUUAAUUCGUGGAUCUCAUCCAUAUACGCUCCUGGGGGUGGCUACGGA